GCUCAUUGUGAGAAAGCCCCGUUUCUUGGGAUAGCAUCAUGCAAUGAUACAGGUGACCAUAUGACAUUUCAUUAUGGUUUAGUGGAUGAAUCUAUGGGAAAGCUAUUUCAACAAGAACAGCGGAUAUGUGUUUGGAGUAAAAGUUGGGAAGGUUAAUUUUAAGUGAUUCCUGAAAACGGGAUUAUUUUGCACAGGUCUCUAUGAAGUAAUGCACAGUGCAAUUGAAGAGGCACGUUAUGUCAGGCAAGAAAGAAGCUGAAGAGCUAUACUGCCUCGAGAAAGAAAGCCUAUCUACUGUGAAUUACUCUGCUGUUAUUCACCUUCUCCUGGAACCCCUCAGAAUGGCACAGGCACUGUGGAGCAGGAGCUUUUACUUUGAUGCAGCUGAACAACUCCACCCUCAGUGGAAGUCAUUAAGUCCCUGGGCAGCCGGAUCUAAUUGUGGUGUCCCUGUAUGUUGCAGGGGAGUUGCACUAGAUGGCCCUCAGAGGCCCCUUCCAACUCUAAAGGAGUCUAUGAUUUGUAGUCAAGAUGCAGAGUAGAUUGAUCAGUAGAUACAUGGGAACUCACGCUCAUAAGAGCAGCAUCUGCAGAACUGUUAGGCUAUUACCACCUCUAGCCACCGAUAAGUUGUUCAAGUAAGAUAAUCUGACAGACUUUUGCAUGUCAAACUAAAAAAAAUCACACCAACAACAAAUUGAUGGAAUAAAAAUAGGAGUGAAGGAAUUGCCAGAAUGAAAGAUCGUUAGCUAACCAGCACAAGCAUUUGCUUUACUGCAGACCUCAUCCAUAAAGGUGGAAAGGGAACAUCCUGUUCUGCAGUGCUUCAGUGGCCGAUAGUUUAGAGGAAGAAACGUGUGCUUUUGUAAUGGUGUGCUUUGAUGCUGUUAGCAGCAGCAACGACCAAUAAACUUCUGAAUGAUGUUAAAGACAAAUAGUGCCUCAAACCUUGUACACUAUAAACCCAAGAAAACACAGUGAAACAUCCAUUUGUAAUUAGAACAUAUAUCAGAAAAAAAAAAAAAAAAAAAUUAUGCACAGCGUGGCACAAAAGGCCUGAAUUUCCUGUCAUCUACAAUUGAAGUAGCACAUAGUCUCAUUCUUUUCGAGUAUUUCACUGAAUGUGGAUGGUGUCAUGCACAUCAGAGACUUUCUAUGUACAGAUGGAUUAAGAACAAUGAGUCAGCCUCUCUGCUUUAAUAAAAAAGAAACAAACUUAUAAAAACACCCCAGUGAUUUUUAGUAAAUCAGACAAGGUUAUACAAAUAAAAUACUAUAGCCAUGUGAUUUCAGUAAAGCCAACUGCACUUCAAUAGCCACAAUGCAAAGGUGUGAACUGUUCUUUCCCAGUUACUCAUUACCCAAUCUUCAUUAAUCAUAAAAAAUGUUUUUACAUUAUUCUGGAUUCUAUAACUGCAAUCUCCCAAUCAGUGAUUGGCUCACGUGGCCUCGUUUCACCUGCUGUCCCUUCUUCCCUUGCUAAGAUAUUUUGCAAUAUCUUGCAGAUGCUGCAGUUUGAGUGGGCAGCAGGCUGCUGCAGGUGGAAUCUCUUCCAGGCUAAUCUGGAUGUUUCAGGGAGUUUGGUUUUCUUCCCCACAUUUUAUGAUAAUCUUUUUUCACAUUUUAUAAUCAGUGAAGAUGAGUAGAGAAACAAAUAUAUUUCAGUCGUUUCAAGGGCUGAUAAAUAAAACUAAGCAAAUGAAAAACCAAACUCUUCAUGAAAAUUUUUGCCCCAUAAAAGCUUGAGACACAUAGUUAUGGCAACUACAGUGAGCAGCUGAAGUGUAUUCCUCAAAUCCAAUAUGUGAAGUAUAAGAACUUUAAAAUGACUUCUCCCCCCAAAGAUAAGUGCUCUUAUUUGUCAGAAGCAGCAAUGCCACAAGUCCAGCUUCAAAUGCUGCUUAGAAUACCCUGCCUUUUUCCUCCACCACCAGUGUUCUGCUUGCUGCUCUUAAACCUGCAGAUGAAUGGGCACAGAUAGCGUGAUACUUAUCUUAUAGGCAGGAGGUUUAGCAAGCUGCAUUUCAGAGCCCAAAACAAACAGUCCUCUGUGGAUUGGUCAGUAGGACACUAUGGAGUAGAAAGCUAAUUUGCACCUUCCCUGUGUCCCAGUAUAUCAGGCUUUAAGCUUCAUUGAUUACAGUCUAGAGAUGUUAAUCAAGAUUUUUCAUGCCUCAGAGAACAGUACAGCUGCUAAACUUUCUUUAAUAAGUGCUUUAUAGUGGGGAAAUUGUACUAGGAAUUAGCUGAAAAGAAGCAACUUUUUUCUGCCCUAAUUAAGCAGCAGUUCAUUGUAACUCAAGCACUAACAUGAGAAAGAUGUUGGUAUAAGGAAUUUAGCAAAGUCACUGAUUCUGUUCCAGCUGUUGGCUGCACUGUCUCUUGCAGCUUGCUUCAAAUUUAAGAAACCAAAUGCACUGUUAGAAUUCCGAGAAUACUCCUACAUUCCUUAUUGCCCAACAAGUAAAGCAGAUGUAGUCAUCUGUGUCAGACUUACUGACCCCAGCCUUUAUAAAGACACUAUGAAACUUCACUCUUGUAUUUUAAAUGAAAUUUACCUCCCAUUACCUGUAAAAGCUCAUGUUGGCAAUAUCAACAGGAUACUCUUUUACAGGAGACACAAGUGUAACACAAGCAGUGGAACAUGGCCACACUGUGGACCUUCAGUGAAGGAAUUAUUCACCUGACUAUGUUUUACUUUGCAGACCAGUCUUAUAGAAGCAGGUUGCCUUUUAUUAAGGUCAAAUACAUUUAUUAAGGGACACAUUCCCUUACAGAGCUUCUACUGGACUUGAUUAUUUAAAGUCUAGAGAUGAGAGUAAAAAUGUUGGGUUUUUUAUUCAGCACGAAAUCAUCUUCAUUUAUGUUCCUGGAAAUUGAGUAAAAUGCCUUAGACUGACCACCUUUGCUGCCAGACUUUCAUAAAGUACUAUCUCUAUAUGCUGACCUGCAGAAAUGUAUUAGAGAAAAAUAUUUCUGCUUUCAGUGCUGCAUUUACUGUAAACUUGCAUUCUUCCAGGAAAAUUCUGACAGAAAAAUUUAACAUUGGAGAUUUGACUUCAGGCAAAUCUUUUAGCUAUUAUGGUUCCAGUAAUCUUUUUCUGAAAGAAGAAUGCAGCUGAAUUUGACGCCAGGACUGCAGACACAGGAAAAGAGAACUAUGCAAAAUGCUGUAGAAACACAGAAAAGAUUUCCCAUAAGGUCCAGAAGGUCCCACUUUGCAAUCUUUAUUAGGCAGUCCCUGCUUCUGAGCUCACAAUGGAAGCAGUGCCCAAGAUGCUUCUUCCCUACCAAGGCUCCUAUUUCCAUUAUUCAUAAUGCCAUCACACGCACUGUGUGCCAGCAGCACUUCGUCUUCUCUGCAAUGCUGAACUGUGUUACCAGAUUUACUCAAUUCUGACCAAAAAGCAGUAUCUUCUAUUAUUCUGGAUUUUGCUACACACCAUAAACACUCAAUUAAAACUUGCCCAAAUUCUUUGUGACUAAGUCCCAUGUAUCAUUGCCAGGCACAGGCUAAAUGGCACAGUCGAUAGGACCCUUAAGAAUGCUUCCAGGAAAAAAGGUUAAAUGUUAUGUCUGGACAUUAAAAGUUAAAGCAAACAUUCUUAGCAAUCCAUUCAUUCAUUGUCUAUUGUCUGUUUUAUCCCGUUUCCUUGUUAUCAAGCCUUUCCUGUGCAAGUCUAUUCUGCCAUACCAAAGAGGAAGCAUUGUUGAGAAUGUCCAUCUCCACACAGAUAAGGAAGCAGAUUUACAUCCAAGAAACACUUAACACACAUGAAAAGUCACCAUGUUUUGAAUAGGGCAGAAUAGCCAGUAACUUAGAAGUGUGAGGUCUGGUAGAUAGGAGCUAUCAUUCAAAAUGGAGAAAGCAUCUCAUAUAUCAUAUAUAUAUAUCAUCAUAUAUUUUUGAUAAUUGUGUUUUGACUUAGAGAAAAUCUUUUUUUACUGACUUCUGGAUAGCUACUGAAUAAGUGGAGUCAGUAAUAUCAUAGAGGUUCCAUAAUAACACACUGAUGGUAAAAAAGGGCUGCCAAGCACAUUAAUGAAAGUCCACUGCUAUUUUCCUAACUGCACUACUGCACUCUCUCUUAUAUUCUUUCCAUUCUGAAAGUCUUAGACCCGAAAGCUCAAAGCGUUGCUUAUUUGCUGCUUUUCAUGUAACAACUACACUGAUGAGUCAGAAACAUUUUUGCUAACACCUCAUUUAGUUUCACAUGCUGAAAAUGGAAAACAGACAAAAUAAAAGAACAAUUGGAAGAAUAUUCAUGAACAAUUAACUCCUCUUAUUUUACCACAAAAUCCUUGAAAUUCUGCCCUUCCAAUUGCUCACAAACCCAGAUGAGCACACAGCCACACAAGUUCAGCCUGUGUUUACAUGCUUGCAGAUGAGUUCAGUGCUACAUGAUCUUUAUCAGUGUUAUUACAAAUGCCUUUACAGACGUGUCUAUGACACUUCAGAAGCAGCUGAAAUGGACUUUGUGUUGCCAACAGGUUUAUCUUUUACCACUGAAUAACAGAGCAGACAGUGCACUGCUGGUAUUUUUCACAGACUGACAUUUCUUUUUCAAGAGUACUGAUGUGUAAAACAAAGAUAUAAACAAGAUUCAUCUGACUUUCUCCUCCCUCUAAAACAACUGCACUCUUUCCUUGGGGUACAUCUAAAAGCUUAAUAUUGGAAUAAUACAUAUCUCACAGGGAACACAAAUCAUAUGAUAAAUACACUCACAAAAUAUCCCUGGGUAUCCUUACUAUAAUUCUUGUACAUAGAAAUGAAAAUCUUUCACCUUCCCUCACCUAUCUUUACUAAUAAAUGCUAUGCACACAUCAAUAUCAGUAUAUCAUGUGUUGUUCCAGGUACACCACUCAGAUAAAAACAUAUUUCUCACUCUAAGUAGAGAACUGGUUUCAGAGAAAACAAAUAAUCCAGCCCUUACUCUCUGUAGUUUAGGGGCUGUUGUGAAGUGGAGGGCAGAUAGAAGCAGGGCCUGAUGGGGUUCCACACAAGCGCAGCGCAAACUAGGGCUCAUGAUGAUGGAUGCUGACCUGGCUACUGCACAUUGACCAGCUCUGCACUGAGCGAGCAGCCAGGAGUGCGCCUGCCACACUUCUGGGUCCCACAUCCUGUGUUUCAGAAAAGUUUCAGUCAUCUCUAAUAGGUAAACAUUGCCAAAAUAUGUCACAUUUCCAAGGCCUCCCUAAUAAAACUUCAAAAUUCUUACAAACUUUCAAUUUCACUCAGCAUUUUCCUGUAUUUUUAUCAUUCUACAUCAAACACUAUCAUUCACACUCCACUUGAAUGAGAAAUAGAAGGUUAAGGGGAAGAUAACAUCUUUUCCUCUGAAAGUACCUGUUAUUUCCUGUCCUGAAUAACAACAUUUCUUAAUCUGAAUGCUAUAGGAAGCCAAAUCACAAAGUUUUCUUCCAUAUUUCAGAUGUAUUUAAUUAAAUAAUAAACAAUAUCAUUUAUCAUGCAUGUAUUUUCACAUCUGAAAAAAUGACAGAUACUGAAGGCCAAUGUCCCAACUCGGAUAAAUCAAAAUACCAAAUAAUGGACCACUUAAUGAGCCAAUUGGACUCAGAGGUGUGGAACAACCUAUCGCUUGUUCUGCCUAUCAAGUUGCAGGUUUCUUCUGUCUAAAACAGAUGCUGUUUAUUAUGCUGGAAACGAGGGAAAGAAGAACCAGAAGAGAUCAGUAGGAGCAGCAAGCAUUAUCAGGGUUGACAGGGAAGUUAAAAGAAUUUUCUCCCACCAUCUUGUUCAAGAUCUAACUGUUCUAGUAAAAGGACUGACAUCGAGCUCACUCAUUUUGUCCUCAGUGAAAGCACUGAACUUGUACAGUGUUCUCCUAUCUUAACUCUUUCCCACAGUGCACCAGUUUUUAUUUCGGAUGAGUACUUAAAUCAUGUUUGUUUGCUCUACUAUCAGCCACUUUCUCUGGCUGUAAGCACAAUGAAACUCCUGAUCCUCACAAGGAGUAACCAUGAACCCAUUCAUAGUAUUAUGGGUUGCUGGUUUUACUCCACAGUCUCCAAAAGGCAGGAGGAGAGUCCUGCAGCCUGACCUCCAUAGCUGUGCUGCUUGCCAGGGAGCAGGAGGGUAGGAGGAGGAAUGGCUAAGGGAGCCAGGCACGCUUCUUUGUUUUCAGUAAACAUUGCCUGGAAAAUGGCCUGCAUUAUAGCACAGAUUACAGACCAAGAUAGAUAGCAGUUGGCUGUGCUAGAGAAGCUCUCUGAGGGGAAUGACAGAGUUGGCCUCAGGGAGAAUGUGCCACAGAAUCAAGCAGCAGUUGGCACAUGCUGGUCUUGGUGUGGUAGCCUAAGGGUGUAGCAAGAAUAGACAAAUUAAUUACAUCCUCUGCUACCACCCCAACUGUGUGAUGUAUCAAAGCCUCUGUCUUUGUACUGUCAGCUACCCCACUAAAAAUGAUUUUUCAGGGCAUAUAUGCUGUUGUAACUGCAGCUCAUUAACCAAGGCACUAUUUGUGGUGUCUUUGAAAGCAGUUUCCAGCUGUUUGGUAUUCCACUGUAGUGUGGUUGGAACAAGCUACUUCAAAGACAGAUGGAGAAGUCCGCACUAAUUUCAGCACAUAAUACUUCCUUUCUCCAGAUGGAAACAGCCUGACCCAAACCAAUUUGAAUUCAAAGAGCUGUGUGAAAUGCAUUCCUAAGGAAGCCACUGAAAGAGUAGAGCACGUUUGAAACUCUUUUUGUUGAGGAAAUGACCCAGUCUAAAUGGAAGCAGGGGGACAGCAACACUGCAAGUGAAGGACAUGUCCUAAGGCAGAUUCACUCCAUGCAAGAGAGCCUGUAACUGGGAGUGAAAGAAUGUCUGAAAUUGCUGCCACUCAGGUUCAAGAGGAACACCACUUACCUGAAUAUUACCAACUGUUGAAGUGACCGGUUUUCUGAUUCAUUAGAAAGACCAAGUCAUCAUUAAAAAAAAUAUAUCAUUUUAAAUGCAGUCAUCAAGACAAAAGGUAAAACAGAAAAUAUUCUAGUGGAACUAUUAGGAGAUCACAGAAACUUUUAAUGCAGAUUGAAAAUGCCAGUGACCAAAGCCAUGAAGUCAAAGAACAAAUCUCAUUAUCUUUUCAACGUGGAAUUUACUUACACUGUACAAAAGAACAACUAAAGAUCACAUGCAGAUGAUUCUAAACCAGAUAAGUGGAUAACAAAAAGAUAUUAGCAGUACAAGCAUCCCCCCUCUGACUGCAUUCAAGCCCACCUUGAUAUCACCGCUGCCCUGUCUUCAUGACAAGUCACUAUGCCAGAAGUAUUGCAUGGGAAUCCCUUGACAGUAUCUCUUUCUAAACACUUUUUCACCCACUGAGAUAAACAGAAUUCAGUAUGUGAUGGCAUGCCCACCACAGAAGAUAAACUAUGAAGACACAGCAUACUGCUACUGGAGCUUCAACACAAUGCUUCUCCACCCACAGCCAUAGCUUCAUCUCCCAAGCACCCAGCUACUUGUAAUGCCCUCACAGCUACCAAUAUGCAAUCUGAUAGCUUUUACUCUUAUGAAGAAAUAAAAUCCAGUUAAAUCCUUCCUUUUGGAGAACUCAUAUCACAGUGUGCACUCGUAAAAGUGGUGCUAUUUUAUUUAAAUAUUGUGCCUUAGUUAUUGUACAAGCAAUAUAAAUUUUAUUGCAUGUUUUAUUGUUACAUAGCAUUCCUUGCAAUAAAGGCAUCUUAGUCACUUUUUACCCUCCUGAAAAGGACUGCUUUCCUAUAUGACCAGCGUAGCAAUAAGCAUACCUCACUAUGCUUUUUUUCUUUAAUGUAAGAAAGUCCUUUUCAUGCUCCACUACACCUUUUCUUGUUUAUAAAAAACCUGAAGAACUGGUCAGAGGCUGAGGCAUGAACUUAGCAGCUCCCUGUCCUCAGCUCUCCCUUCCACGAGGCCCAUAAAAAGGAAAUGCACUUCCUGACUCUUCCACACUUGCCUUUCCUGGUAAGAACAGCAAUACAAGAGAACAUACCAAAGGAAUAAGGAUGGAUUAAUUUCUUUAAUUAGUGUAUAUAAUCUGUAUGUUCUUUCUCUGUGACAUUUUACAGUUAAUUUUCUAUAAAGUUUUAUUUUUCAACUACAGAUAAUGGAUCCUUAUGGCAGUCAUGGUUUUGGUCCAUCCAGAAUGAUGGCUAAGGGAUAGUACAUGGGUAGAGCCAAUAGAAUUUCAGUAAGUAGUAUAAAAACCAGUGGCCGUCCUGAGUCUGCUUUGAGGCAAUUUUACUGUCUUUACUGCUGGAUUAACAAAAAUCCAUCACCUCAUCCGGAUCAUCAAAAGGAAAUACCUUUAAUAAAAAUCACCACAGAUGCAAGGCUAGACUUGAUAGACUUCAUCAUAAAUUACAUUAACUCUUUACUGCAUUUACAUAGAACUCCUUGCUCAAGUGAGGAAUAAUUUGAUUAAUCCUUUUCUACUGUAAACAACCAAUACACCAGCUCUCCCAAUUACUCUAUCUGUACUAACAGAGUCUACUCAGCAACAGCUGUUCAAACAUUUGUUAAAUCACUUCACAGCAAAUAGGAACGCGGUGCUGCAUGCCUGUUCCUCAUUUCAACUUUACCACAGCAAUACUUCACAUGCACUAAAAACAUAUGCCGAAUGCACAAAUAUCUAUAAAAACUAUUUUCAUCUUAAUUAAAGACAUCUUAGAGGAUACCAGAAAGUUCAAUUGGUAAGAAGCAUCUAAAAAGCUGAGAAAGACAAAUAGAUUCAUUCAUUGUGAAAUAUAAUUCCUAUGAGCACACACAUAGAAUAAGCCCGGCCUUCAGUCUGAUCCAACUGUUUUUAUUUAUUUUUUAAGUAAUGUGGCAGAACAGAGGGCUCUCUUAAGAGAUCCUGAGCAAGCAGGUGGUGAAAAGAAUGCCCAGUUCUAACAGAGGCAUGAAGUGACUUGCAGGAAAAAAAGCAACUAUGAAGCCAGGGAGCCCUUCUGGCUUCCUAAACUUGUCCUCAUCCAGAAUUUCUUAGCACUGCACCUCUUACACAAGAAAAUGUGAAAAUCUUGUCUUAAUUACUGAGCUCUGAAUAAUGAAAGCUUUCUUUCCCUGCACUUCUUCCUUUCCUUCAGGGAGCUUAGCAAGAACUUUACUGAUGAGACAAGUAAACAGGUCCCUAGUUUGCUGAUGCCUGUUUCUGUGCUCAUACUGCAGGUCCUCUAGCCAUAGAAUACUUACUGGAAUUUGUCAAGAAUGAUGUCCUUAGUAACAAAACCUUCACAAAGCUGAUACUGCAAACACACACAGCUCCUUCCAGACACAGGUUUAUUAGAAUGGCAGCCCCUGGAAUCAUUAUCCCUCAGCAAAACGUCAGGAAUCUCAUCACAGUUUUACACAAAGGUGGAAGCUAAAAAGUCCGGCAGCCUGUUUUCUUGUAAAACUGCCUUCUGUCUUGUUGACAAAUGUAAGGAAAAAGUAAAGAUGCCUUCACAAGGCAGAUGUGUUUUGAACAUCACUCAGUGUCUUUGGAGAGUCCAUCCCUACUCAUUUAUCCCUUCAGAUAAAUUUUGUCUUCUUACUAUUAAUUUGUCCUUUACUAUCAAAUUACAGAAAUUCACGAAUUUUUCCACUUUUCACUUUCUCAGAGAGAAAAGCACAAUGCACUGCAUUCACAGAUUUUAUAACUGUAAUAAAAGCCCUGUACAAGACUGAAUUUACUGUCUACAUCAAUUGUAUUUGCCUUCAUCAGUAGCACUCUUUCAGGUGCACUGGCAUACAAGCUACAUAAACAGCACUGUCACUUUGACGAUAAUAAAGCAAUAAGGAACACCUCUUAAACAAGAAACCAAAUUCCCAUAAUUCUCCUUCUCUUCAAAAUCCUUGUGUGUAGCUGACAAGCAGAUGUUUUCUAAUGUCAUGCACAGUAACAGAAUAUAAUGGCACAUUAGUACUGAUGCAGAUACUGUAACAUUUACCUUGCAUUCUAUGCAUUCUCCCUUGACAUGAAAACCAUACAGAAAGUGAAAUAUGGAUCAAUAAAAUAUAGGUAUUGUUAAUAUGGUUUUUGUUUGCAAGAAAAUACUUGCAGAAAAAGCAUAUAUCUUUCAAUAUGAUUUUUUUCCCCAGUAUGGUCUUCCAAAACACAGCACUCAUCUUUCUUGUGCUGGAUAUCCCACUGAACACAGUGAGAUCGCUCUUUUAAGUGCAAUUGCUCUGCUUAGGACCACUCGCCAAAGGUAUCAUAAAAUGUAUGAAAACUGAUAUCUACUAGUUCAAAAAGAAAUACCCCUAAAUGCUUUAAACGCUGACCUGGACUAUACAAAUAUCAGACAGGAACAAAGGAUGCCCUUCUCAAAGAUAUGACCACAGUUUCUCUCAUAAUAGAGGAGAUUCAACAGCUUGACCUCCUUUAAAAGAAAGGAAAAAAAAAACAUACGGCACAUAUAGCUGUAAAGCCAGACCACACUGGACUGGAAAAGUAAUCAGGAAUUACUUCCCAAAAUGUAGAAAGAUGACUUUACUUUGAAAGAUUCAACACUCAGCUCCAAGCAGUCUGAACAAAUAUCUUACUGUGAGCUAGAUCUCAUGCCACCUAAGUGCUGGGAAAGUGACUGGAGAAAAACUCUGUUUUAUCAGAAUGAAGACUUCAGUUCUGAUCACUGCUGCUAAAUUUCAGGGCUGUGCUGAACGAGUUACUAUGGCCAGUUCUGCGAUCAGUGAGGUCCUUAGGAAAAGUUCUACUGCUUCCUCUGGGAGUAGCACGUAAUUAUUAAACUCUCUGCUUCACUACAGAAUUCAGAUAGAUACUAUUCUUAACAGCCUAGGGGAAAAAGAAGAUCUACAGAUAACAGAUUGGAUUGAAUCCCAAAGCAUUAUUAUUGCACUAGUCCAAAAGAAAAGAUCACAUGCAAGAGGGGGGUAUUCAGUGGCUCAAGUACAUAUUCUAAUGAAGAAAAAUGGGGUUUAAUUGCUAUUGAAUAGGGGGGUGAUAGCAAACAAUGCUCACAUUAAAUUAUUUUCUCAAAAUUUAAUGGAUUUUUAAUUUUGUUGACAAGUAAAACUCCUGCUUUCAAAAUCAACAAGACAAUUAGAUGACAAGAUAUGCCAAGCUUCCAGAGCUGAUUCAUGGAAGACAAAGUAGCCCAGGAACCCAGCCCAGCUGUUACGUAAACUUGCGCUCAGUUUGGCUUCUGCAACUUUAAAUGGAAUCUAUAAACUACCAAAGCUCCUCAAAUCAAAAGGAACUCAAGACUAUGUUUCAUAUCUGGAUUUACAAAUUGCAUGUUUCUCCCUGGAUACCUCACCACACCCAUAGAUUAUUUUUAAUGCUUUUCUCGUAAAAAUAAGACUUCUGUUAAAAUAUCGAAGGUUGAAUCACGUUUAAAGACAGAAGGCAAAGGUAGACAGGAGAGCAUUAACCCCACUAAGCCAAGGGUCAUUCUUGGUUUUUUACUGACACUACAUUGGAGAGUUCCUAGCAGAACUCACUGAUGAAACAAUUCCUCUGAGUGACACACGCAUGCUGCACUUACAGGAGGAAAAACUGUACCAGAGUUAUCUAUCCUUGAAUCAAAUCUAGAGAACCAAAUGCCACAAUGGUUCUUUCAUACUGUUCAUGCUUCAUCUACACAUCCAUACUCAUGCUGGAUUUUCCCCUCACAGCGUUCUGUCCUUAAGCUGGAGAACUUAGCAUCUUGUUCAACAUUCCCUGGAUAUUAUCUCAAGUUACAGUAAGAAUAAUAUUUAAAAAGCAAACACUGUUGUGGAAGUUUUCUGGUGAGAGCAUGGCACUGCUAAAGCGUAGGCUCCUGAAAAAGGCUUAAGAACCACUGGAGGUGAAGCCAUGGCUCAUGCACAACACCCUGCAAAUAGAGGUUUACAGUUUCUGUGCGCAUUCCCUGAGAGAUGGACAGGACAAGGAAGUAGAAGUACUGUGUUGGAGUCUUUCAGGAAGCACAUCUGCUAAACCAAGGGCUCUGUCCAACAGAAAACAAAAUCCCUCUGAGAAACAAAGAGCGAUGUAAAGAGAUGAGUGAAAAGGCAGCAUGUCAGCAAAGGAAAGCUCUCCGAGCAGGCGUGUGGGAGUAACCUGCUCAAAUCUGAAUGCGUUGGGCAUUUUUAUGCACUAGAACAUGAGAUAUUAACAGUAUAAGAAUAUUUUACACUGCAUGGAAAGAAAAACUCCAGUUUUGUAACUUCACCGCUUUUAUAACUGCAACAUUUAAGGAAAUGGGAGAUGAGAUGGGCAGCAGGAGAGCAGACUGCUUACCAGGCUUACUGCGUAGAUGGAGACACACACACAAACCUUCAGACACACAAGUUCAACUAUCUUUGCUUUUCCCUCUUUCUUUUUUCUGUUCAUGCUGCUUCUCUCAGCAGAAAGUCACAGAAGGAUUCAAGUACUGAAAUUAACUUUAAAAGUCAUUUGCCAGAUUCCAAAAUGAAUUCAUUAUACAGAUACCCAACAAAAAAAUAAUAAUAAAAACAGCACCAGAGGGGAAAAGUGUAACUGCAAAAUGUGUGUUUUUGAGCAACCGGGCUCUUAUUUCUCAAUGGAAAUCACAGUGACUUCUUUCUUUUGUACCAUUCUAAAAUUAUAAACUAUAUUACUUAUCUAAUGAAAUAAUAAAAAAGUAGACAUGACCCCUUUUAAGACUGCAGUGCCAUAUGUAACCACUUAGUUUGUUAUAGAGCUAUUUCUUCAGUUUACUGUGUGUAUUUUGACUGUAUACAUAACAUAAGAACUAGAUCUCAUGAGUGAUACAGGCUUGUUUCUAUU